UAAUGUAUGGGGAUCUGCCCGAUAGAGGGGGAUAACUACUGGAAACGGUGGCUAAUACCGCAUAAUGUCUACGGACCAAAGCUAGGGGCUCUUCGGACCUUGCACUAUCGGAUGAACCCAUAUGGGAUUAGCUAGUAGGUGGGGUAAAGGCUCACCUAGGCGACGAUCUCUAGCUGGUCUGAGAGGAUGAUCAGCCACACUGGGACUGAGACACGGCCCAG
rnacentral:rRNA from 1 species